GGGAUUUGGGGAUUUUCAUUGUGCAAUCUCUUUUUGGCCCUGAGAUUUGGGCCACUGCUCCAUUUCUUCCUGCUCAGAUCUGUGUCGCAGGGAUCUCUCUUACCCGCGCUAUGUCUGGUAUGUGGGGGAAGAAAGGGUCUGUGUUCUUGGUUUCUGAAAAUUGUAUCGGUUUUUUUUUGUUUUUUUGUAAAUGCCACUAUGCCAGGAUCUAAACUUGCUAGACAAAUGUCUCAUCACAAGUUUUUGAAAGCCAAGAAGUUCGGUGCGGAGAUGCUGAAAUGGAGGAUGGACUUCGGAGCCGACACCAUCCUUGAUGUGAUAGUAUUAUCAUUAAUGGUAUUCAAUUGAUAGUGUUAUCGUGAAUGCUGGCAGUGGGUUCAAGUUGAUCUGGAACAGUGUGAAGGGCUUCAUUGACCCAAAAACGUCAUCCAAAGAUUCAUGUUCUUGGUUCGAACUAACUACCAGAGCAAGCUUCUUGAAGUAAUAGACUCGAGAAUUCCUGGGUGGUUCAUCCACAUGUAGUGACAAGGGUGGUUAUCUUGGAUCAAACAAAGGGCUAUGAAAUGAUCCUUAUAUAUUGAAGCUGAUACAUAAUCUGGAGGAUGGAUGUGUGAGGGAAAUCAAACCUAUUUAUGAGGGGGGGG